GCGCGAGUGGCGGAAUUGGCAGACGCGCUGGAUUUAGGUUCCAGUGUCCGAUGGACGUGGGGGUUCAAGUCCCCCCUCGCGCA
rnacentral:tRNA from 1 species